AACCAACCUGAGGUUGGGUGGUUAGGAAGGUGGUUGUACCCCCAGCCCACCAGAGUUCAAACCCCAGGUUUGACAUCUGUGUGUCUCAUAAAGGCGGAAUAUUCAUUAAGUGGGAGGCGACGUUCCCGUCGACAGCGAGGCGCCUGUGGUGACUUCGUCAAUUUCAAGAUCCAAUCCGCCGGCUCAGUCUUCCGGAGGUGCUCAUAGGGGUAGGGUGUGCGUGUGUGCGUUCAUAGGGGUGAGUGUAUGCGUGUGUAUGUGAGCGCCUGCGUUUGUACUGUGUUUCUCAAAAAAAAAAAAAUUAUUUCUGGCUAUAGUUGAAGUAUUGUACACACUUGAAGAAAUCAAGCAGGGACAUAAACUAAGCAAGGAGAGAGUGAUUGCCAUAUCCGAAACCUUACGCAAUAUAGCAUCAGAAUGAGCACUCAAGGAGGAGUUGGUUAUUACAGUAUAUGCUAAUGUGCGGUUAAUUCUUAUGACUGAAAAUGAGCAGUACGGUACGCAAUAGCAAAAGCGAAGCAACUCAGUUGUUCAGUUUUCAUCUGCUUAGUUUUCGUUUGCAGGUCAGUUCUAUUUUCUGUCCUCGAAUUCUUAUUGCUUCCACUUCUCAAUGAUUACUGAACUUUGCUGAAUUUUCUUUAAAGGUUGCAGAUUUUUUGCUUGAAAAGGAUGCCGCUUCAAAACAAAUUGUUUUGAUUGCUACUGACGAGUAUAAUACAAUGGAAUCCGUGAAGAUGGUAUGCGCAGAUUAACAAUUGUUAGGCCAAUCCUUUAGAUUUCUUAUCACAUCUUCCCCCGUGAGUUUCGAUUCCAUCUAUUGCUGAUAUUUAGCCUGGUGUCAAAUGGUGCGGUCAAACACUGGUGUCAUGAUGUGUGCUUGCAUCAGCCUGCUGUCAUUUAAAAAGCACAUUUGGUACCGUAUUUACACUUGGCCAAAUUUAAACCACCGCAACAUCCCUCUAUAUAACAGAACACCAACAAUACCAAUUCAUCCGUCCAUAUCAAAAUACAUAAACAACUUUCAACCUGGAGGCUUCACACAUCACCUCGCACAUGGAGCAACAAGGAGGAAAAAACAGGUAAUCCUCAGUCAUCCAUACAUUCAUAUUAACACAUAUAUAUUUCUAAUUCCUAUCUUCAUGUACAAAUCUCUAUAUGCAUCACGCCAAUGAGGUGUGGCACGUCCGUAAUUCCAUCGGCACCAAAGCGUCAAAGAGAAGCUAACAAGAUGUACACUAAAGCAAUAGAAGAACUCAAGCACAUCAAACGACCACUGCAUAUAACUUUACAUGAGGGUGAUCAAGGGGAGCCUUCACGUGCUGAAAUCAAAAACAUACUUGAAAAAGAUAAGUUCUUCACAACGGAGUACAUCAUAGAAGGAAAGAGACAAGUGACAGCUAUCAUUUCUGCUGAGUAGUUUAAAAAAAAGGAAAUUAGUAGUUACCAAUUCAAUCAUCGGGUCGUCACAUGUAACUUUUUUUAUCAACUUCCAAAUAAUGAAAUAAUCUCCUUUUAAUUAAAUGUUUCAUAAACAUUGAAAAAUGUAUAUAACCUUUCUUCAAUACAUCACUAAAGAAAUCCCGCGGCAACGCGCGGGGUAUCAUCUAGUAAUUUUAACACCCAGAACAGGACCCUUGUACGUCAU